GCUCAGGACGAACGCUGGCGGCGUGCUUAACACAUGCAAGUCGAACGCUGAAGCACCAGCUUGCUGGUGUGGAUGAGUGGCGAACGGGUGAGUAAUACGUGAGUAACCUGCCCUUGACUCUGGGAUAAGCCCGGGAAACUGGGUCUAAUACUGGAUGCUACAUGUCACCGCAUGGUGGUGUGUGGAAAGGGUUUACUGGUCUUGGAUGGGCUCACGGCCUAUCAGCUUGUUGGUGAGGUAAUGGCUCACCAAGGCGACGACGGGUAGCCGGCCUGAGAGGGUGACCGGCCACACUGGGACUGAGACACGGCCCAGACUCCUACGGGAGGCAGCAGUGGGGAAUAUUGCACAAUGGGCGAAAGCCUGAUGCAGCGACGCCGCGUGAGGGAUGACGGCCUUCGGGUUGUAAACCUCUUUCAGCAGGGAAGAAGCCACAAGUGACG
rnacentral:rRNA from 1 species